rnacentral:lncRNA from 1 species
GGAAAAAAAAAAAAAAAAGGUAAGGGUGUGUUUGGUUCCACGUAAAACUGUGGAAAAAAAAUUUUCGGUGAAAAAAAAAUUUUCGGUAGAAAAAUAAUUUUACGUCGUUAGUGUUUGGUUUGUUGGAAAAAAAAUAGUUUUCCAUGAAGCUUGUUUGGUUGGAAGAAAAAAAUAGAUGAAAAACUAUUUAAUAUAUUUUAUUAUAUAAUAUUAAUAUAUAAUAAUUAAUAUAUUUUAUAUAUUAUUAUAAUUUUUAUAUACAUAUUAAAUAUAUUUAAAAUUAUAAUAAACAUAUUACAUCAUAUAUAAUAUAUUUAGAAAUAUUAAUAAAUAAUUACAAAUUUAUAAAUAAAAUAUUAUAUAN